GACGAACGCUGGCGGCGUGCCUAAUACAUGCAAGUCGAACGAGAGCGACCGGUGCUUGCACUGGUCAAUCUAGUGGCGAACGGGUGAGUAACACGUGGGUAACCUGCCCAUCAGAGGGGGAUAACAUCCGGAAACGGAUGCUAAAACCGCAUAGGUCUUCGAACCGCAUGGUUUGAAGAGGAAAAGAGGCGCAAGCUUCUGCUGAUGGAUGGACCCGCGGUGCAUUAGCUAGUUGGUGAGGUAACGGCUCACCAAGGCCGUGAUGCAUAGCCGACCUGAGAGGGUGAUCGGCCACAUUGGGACUGAGACACGGCCCAAACUCCUACGGGAGGCAGCAGUAGGGAAUCUUCCGCAAUGGACGCAAGUCUGACGGAGCAACGCCGCGUGAGUGAAGAAGGUUUUCGGAUCGUAAACUCUGUUGUUAGAGAAGAACAAGUGCUAGAGUAACUGUUAGCGCCUUGACGGUAUCUAACCAGAAAGCCACGGCUAACUACGUG
rnacentral:rRNA from 1 species